GAUGAACGCUGGCGGCGUGCCUAAUACAUGCAAGUCGAGCGAACAGACGAGGAGCUUGCUCCUUUGACGUUAGCGGCGGACGGGUGAGUAACACGUGGGUAGCCUACCUAUAAGACUGGGAUAACUUCGGGAAACCGGAGCUAAUACCGGAUAAUAUUUCGAACCGCAUGGUUCGAUAGUGAAAGAUGGCUUUGCUAUCACUUAUAGAUGGACCUGCGCCGUAUUAGCUAGUUGGUAAGGUAACGGCUUACCAAGGCAACGAUACGUAGCCGACCUGAGAGGGUGAUCGGCCACACUGGAACUGAGACACGGUCCAGACUCCUACGGGAGGCAGCAGUAGGGAAUCUUCCGCAAUGGGCGAAAGCCUGACGGAGCAACGCCGCGUGAGUGAUGAAGGUCUUCGGAUCGUAAAACUCUGUUAUUAGGGAAGAACAAACGUGUAAGUAACUGUGCACGUCUUGACGGUACCUAAUCAGAAAGCCACGGCUAACUACGUG
rnacentral:rRNA from 1 species